rnacentral:rRNA from 1 species
UCAUGGCUCAGAUGAAACGCUGGCGGAAUGCUUUACACAUGCAAGUUGAGCGGCAGCGCGGGGCAACCUGGCGGCGAGCGGCGAACGGGUGAGUAAUGCAUCGGAACAUGUCCAUGUCGUGGGGGAUAGCCCGGCGAAAGCCGGAUUAAUACCGCAUACGCCCGAGAGGGGAAAGUGGGGGACCGCAAGGCCUCACGCGAUUGGGUUGGCCGAUGUCCGAUUAGCUAGUUGGCGGGGUAAGAGCCCACCAAGGCGAUGAUCGGUAGCUGGUCUGAGAGGAUGAUCAGCCACACUGGGACUGAGACACGGCCCAGACUCCUACGGGAGGCAGCAGUGGGGAAUUUUGGACAAUGGAGGCAACCCUGAUCCAGCCAUUCCGCGUGAGUGAAGAAGGCCCUCGGGUUGUAAAGCUCUUUUGUCCGGAACGAAACGGUUGCGUCUAAUACGCGCGACUACUGACGGUACCGGAAGAAUAAGCACCGGCUAACUACGUGCCAGCAGCCGCGGUAAUACGUAGGGUGCGAGCGUUAGUCGGAAUUACUGGGCGUAAAGCGUGCGCAGGCGGUUUUGUAAGCCAGAUGUGAAAUCCCCGGGCUUAACCUGGGAAUGGCAUUUGGGACUGCAAGGCUCGAGUGCGGCAGAGGAGACUGGAAUUCCUGGUGUAGCAGUGAAAUGCGUAGAUAUCAGGAGGAAUACCGAUGGCGAAGGCAGGUCUCUGGGCUGACACUGACGCUCAUGCACGAAAGCGUGGGGAGCAAACAGGAUUAGAUACCCUGGUAGUCCACGCCCUAAACGAUGUCGACUGGUUGUUGGGGGUUUGACACUCUCAGUAACGAAGCUAACGCGUGAAGUCGACCGCCUGGGGAGUACGGCCGCAAGGUAAAACUCAAAU